rnacentral:rRNA from 1 species
UACGGAGGGUGCAAGCGUUGUUCGGAAUCACUGGGCGUAAAGGGCGCGUAGGCGGACUAUCAAGUCUGAUGUGAAAGCCGGGGCUUAACCCCGGAAGUGCAUUGGAAACUGGUAGUCUUGAGUUCGGGAGAGGAAGGCAGAAUUCCAGGUGUAGGGGUGAAAUCCGUAGAUAUCUGGAGGAAAACCAGUGGCGAAGGCGGCCUUCUGGAACGUAACUGACGCUGAGGCGCGAAAGCGUGGGGAGCAAACAGG